GGCAAACAAAGGAGUGACCAGGCUUUCGGGUGCGAUACAAGGGAAGGCUAAACUCAGACACUCUGUCCUGAUGAGAGGCGCUGAUGUUAAUCGCCUGCCUUUGAUCCAUUUGCCUUUUAAGUAGAACUACCAUCUUUGCCUUGUCUUCCUUCUGGCUUUGCUCCAAAUGAAGACCUGCACAGCUGCCAGGGCACAUGAUAGGAAGUGCCACAUCCAAGCAGAUCAGAAAUCUCAAGCCUUGGCGAGGAUUUUCUACAGGUGCAAAUGUGAUAAUGAGUAACAGAAGAAAGUAUCACAACAUGUCUCAAUGUGUCUCAUCUUCUGAUGAGAACUCCAGACCACUUCUGCACAGCUGUCUGAACAGAGCUCCCAUCUGAUCUUUAUCGUUUCACUCCUAGCAAUGGAAGUGGCUGUCUGAUCUUGACUUUUCACCACACCCAGACUUCCCAUUGACUUCAAGGAGCAGGACUCUGUGGGGGCAGUGUGAAAGUCACCCAAUAAAGGUUUUCAAGAGGAAGCAGCUGAAUUCAUCACCACCAGAAUUUACAUAGAUCUAGAAGAUGCUGACAGGUUUGCUAUGGCAAGCACAACGAGCGGUGUCAACUGAAGUGGUAUGACAAAACGAAGAAGGACCAUGCAGAGCAGCCCCAGUGUAAUUGCGGUGACAACCCUUCCUUCCUGCUCCUUGGCAUACUGACAGCACGCCCUGCCUGCAGCAGGGCAGACCCCCUUCUCCCAGCCCCCAGAUGGGAAGGGGCUCUCGCGUACAUUAUCUGUGGCUCACAAGGAACUGCCACGGAUGCAGAUGCACUGCCAUUUCCUACCACCCACUCCAAAAUGACAGAGGAAGCAUCAGUCUCUAAGACAGGCUGGAUUAUUGUUGUUUCCUCCAUGAAGAAUUUGCCACAAACACCUCGCUAAUCCUCAGCUCAAAUUAGAGACUUCUCAGGUCAGAUGCUGCGUGCAUAAAGCAUGCAUUACCUUUAGAGCUGGACAAAGACUAGGGCAGCUGUAAAAGGCCCCAGAGCAGUGCAGAGAACCACGUGCAGUGCUGGAGCAAGGGAAAGCCUUACCCAACCUCAUCUCCCAGCCAACUCUGAAGCAGCCUUGGGGACAUCAGGACACAGCAAGGCUUUGCCAGCUGCAUCACUAGCACGUGGUGCAGCUACAGCAGAUGGAUCUUGUGCCUGGAUAACCCUAAUAACGCUGUGAUUAAUUAUAAACCCUGCUUCUGUAAGGUUUGCAGGGGAAGAAACCUUCUCCUUCUGCUGAGGAGAAAGAGAAAUGAUGCCCUUGAAUAGCACUGUUUGUAUAAAUGAUUGUGCUUUUUACCCAGAGUUCAUCUGCUGAGUUCUCUCAGCAGAUGAACUGUUCUGGUUUGGGAGGAGCCUGUGUGAGUUUUGAUGUGUAAAGCAGGAUAAUGGAUUUUCAUUAUUAAAGGGUUUACAAAUUGGCUGGCAAGCCCCAGGUGAGAGGUCACUGUACAAAUAAAAGGUUUGAGCUGAGCGAGGAAGCUUGGGUUUGACUGAGAGGACAGGGAAAAAAGGUUUUGCUCUGCAGGACGGCCGGUUGGCUUGUUUGAACAGAAACUAACUCACAGGCUCUUUUUUCACUCCGAGUUUCUCCAUCAGGCCAUUCGUAGAGUGUUUGAGCAGGGCUGAUAACAGCAGAAUUAAUUCCAUCCCGAGGUUUUAAUAAAUCUGUCUGCAGCGGAGAGGAACUGAAUUUGUCACAGGUUUGGCUAAAGCAGUCUGUGCAGUGUAAGAGGAUCUGACCACAGACUGACAGAGAGCACCUGUCAGGCCAGGUGCCAGUGCUGUGCAUGUGUUACUGGUGCCAGAUAAACCAGUGGGGCAUCUAAA